CUGCUGCCUCCCGUAGGAGUUUGGGCCGUGUCUCAGUCCCAAUGUGGCCGGUCACCCUCUCAGGUCGGCUACUGAUCGUCGCUUUGGUGGGCCGUUACCCCGCCAACUGGCUAAUCAGACGCGGGUCCAUCUUAUACCACCGGAGUUUUUCACACACUACCAUGCGGUACUGUGCGCUUAUGCGGUAUUAGCAGUCAUUUCUAACUGUUAUCCCCCUGUAUAAGGCAGGUUACCCACGCGUUACUCACCCGUCCGCCG
rnacentral:rRNA from 1 species